rnacentral:tRNA from 1 species
GGGGCAGUAGCUCAGUUGGGAGAGCGCGACGUUCGCAAUGUCGAGGUCAGGGGUUCGAUCCCCCUCUGCUCCA